GUCGGUGUUGAUGGCGGCGAGGGUACACCCGUUCCCAUCCCGAACACGGAAGUUAAGCUCGCCGGCGCCGAAGAUACUUGGCUGGAGACGGCCCGGGAAAAUAGGAAGAUGCCGACU
rnacentral:rRNA from 1 species